UUAACCUUAUAACCUUAACAGCCACCGUUUAACCUUAUAACCUUAUAAGGGUAACGGCCACCGUUUAACCUUAUAACCUUAACGGCAACCGUUUAACAUUAUAACCUUAACGACCACCGUUUAACCCUAUAACCUUAACGGACACCAUUUAAUCUUAUAACCUUCCCUUGAGUAGUACUAGAGAGUUUAACGGCCACCAUUUAAACCUUCACUGCCUUGAUUUUUUUAUUAAAAACUUAUUCAUAAAUAUUGACUUGCAGAAUACUUCCAAGACUAACAAAGAAAACAGGAAAAAGUUUAAGUAUCCGCACACUAUGGGCAAAACAAGUUUUGUUUUAAUCGCGAGGAAAAAAAGAUGAAAAAUUCUGGUGUUUUGUCGAAUAAGGCGGUGUUACCAAGACUGUUUUGAAACAGAAAGGAAGUGAUUCUGGAUUCUCUUGAAAAUCUUAUGAACUGGUGGAGAAGAGAUUGGAUAAGCUAGAAGAGAGGAUGCAACAAAGAAUGAAUCCUCAAAGAGAUGUCAUUGAGCGAGAAGUUACAAUGAACAUCAUUGCACAACUUCAGCAUCUAAAUUCAGGAUUAAUACUUGAUCGUAAUAUGCUAGGAUUCAAUGUUCAUUUGUCAGGAGAAGCGCUUGCUAAUCAACAAGGAAAUCGUCCAUCUGUUGGUAGUAACAAUCAAAGUCAGUUUCCAUUUCUUGAUCUGUUGGUAGAACUUCUCUUGCUUUUGGUGUGUGUUUGUUGCUGAUUAGCUGGUGAAAGUUUGGUAUUAGUAGUUUGGUAUUGUGGUCUAGUAUUAUUAGUUUGGUAUUGUGUCCUAAAAGAAUAUAAAGAUGAUUCCGUUUCAAAAGAAACGUAUUCCAUUUUUUUAAAAUGUAUAUAAUAAUUUGAAUUAAACUGCAAA